rnacentral:rRNA from 1 species
UACGGAGGAGGCAAGCGUUAUCCGGAAUUAUUGGGCGUAAAGCGUCCGCAGGUGGCAGUUCAAGUCUGCUGCCAAAGACCGGGGCUUAACUUCGGAAUGGCAGUGGAAACUGAACAGCUAGAGUAUGGUAGGGGCAGAGGGAAUUCCUGGUGUAGCGGUGAAAUGCGUAGAGAUCAGGAAGAACAUCGGUGGCGAAGGCGCUCUGCUGGACCAUAACUGACACUCAGGGACGAAAGCUAGGGGAGCGAAUGGG